rnacentral:rRNA from 1 species
GAUGAACGCUGGCGGCGUGCCUAAUACAUGCAAGUCGAGCGAACGGACGAGAAGCUUGCUUCUCUGAUGUUAGCGGCGGACGGGUGAGUAACACGUGGAUAACCUACCUAUAAGACUGGGAUAACUUCGGGAAACCGGAGCUAAUACCUGAUAAUAUUUUGAACCGCAUGGUUCAAAAGUGAAAGACGGUCUUGCUGUCACUUAUAGAUGGAUCCGCGCUGCAUUAGCUAGUUGGUAAGGUAACGGCUUACCAAGGCAACGAUGCAUAGCCGACCUGAGAGGGUGAUCGGCCACACUGGAACUGAGCCACGGUCCAGACUCCUACGGGAUGCAGCAGUAGGGAAUCUUCCGCAAUGGGCGAAAGCCUGACGGAGCAACGCCGCGUGAGUGAUGAAGGUCUUCGGAUCGUAAAACUCUGUUAUUAGGGAAGAACAUAUGUGUAAGUAACUGUGCACAUCUUGACGGUACCUAAUCAGAAAGCCACGGCUAACUACGUG